rnacentral:tmRNA from 1 species
GGGGGCGACACGGCUUCGACGGGGGUAUUGGGCCGUGGGAGGCAUGCCGAGCUCCACUUGCUCGUUAAUCCGGUGGAAACAACCAUAACUGCGGAUUCGCAGCUCGCUCUCGCUGCUUAACACCAGCGACGUCCACCUCUUAGUUGCCUGCGCGCGGGGGCUGGAUGUCAAACAGGCAGGCUGGCCACUUGGGAUGGUUCCUGGUCCCGGGUGGCGAGACGACCACGGGAACUAGCUGCUGGCGGUUUUAGCCUCUUCCCCAGGCUGGCGGCGAAUCAACAGAAGAGGACAAGCAUGUAGAGUCCUACGGUGGGGUGCUCUCGGACGCGGGUUCGACUCCCGCCGCCUCCACCA